UACGUAGGGUGCAAGCGUUGUCCGGAAUUAUUGGGCGUAAAGAGCUCGUAGGCGGUUUGUUGCGUCGGCUGUGAAAUCCCGAGGCUCAACCUCGGGUCUGCAGUCGAUACGAGCAAACUAGAGUGUUGCAGGGGGGACUGGAAUUCCUGGUGUAGCGGUGAAAUGCGCAGAUAUCAGGAGGAACACCGGUGGCGAAGGCGGGUCUCUGGGCAACAACUGACGCUGAGGAGCGAAAGCAUGGGGAGCGAACAGG
rnacentral:rRNA from 1 species